UGACUNGAGUGCAGAAGGGGAGAGUGGAAUUCCAUGUGUAGCGGUGAAAUGCGUAGAUAUAUGGAGGAACACCAGUGGCGAAAGCGGCUCUCUGGUCUGUCACUGACGCUGAGGCUCGAAAGCGUGGGUAGCGAACAGGAUUAGAUACCCUGGUAGUCCACGCCGUAAACGAUGAGUGCUAGGUGUUAGGCCCUUUCCGGGGCUUAGUGCCGGAGCUAACGCAAUAAGCACUCCGCCUGGGGAGUACGACCGCAAGGUUGAAACUCAAAGGAAUUGACGGGGGCCCGCACAAGCGGUGGAGCAUGUGGUUUAAUUCGAAGCAACGCGAAGAACCUUACCAGGUCUUGACAUCCCGAUGCUAUUCUUAGAGAUAGGAAGUUACUUCGGUACAUCGGAGACAGGUGGUGCAUGGUUGUCGUCAGCUCGUGUCGUGAGAUGUUGGGUUAAGUCCCGCAACGAGCGCAACCCUUAUUGUUAGUUGCCAUCAUUAAGUUGGGCACUCUAGCGAGACUGCCGGUAAUAAACCGGAGGAAGGUGGGGAUGACGUCAAAUCACCAUGCCCCUUAUGACCUGGGCUACACACGUGCUACAAUGGUCGGUACAACGAGUUGCGAGCCGGUGACGGCAAGCUAAUCUCUGAAAGCCGAUCUCAGUUCGGAUUGGAGGCUGCAACUCGCCUCCAUGAAGUCGGAAUCGCUAGUAAUCGCGGAUCAGCACGCCGCGGUGAAUACGUUCCCGGGCCUUGUACACACCGCCCGUCACACCACGAGAGUUUGUAACACCCGAAGUCGGUGGGGUAACCUUUUAGGGGCCAGCCG
rnacentral:rRNA from 1 species